rnacentral:rRNA from 1 species
UGAGGAGAGUGAUAAAAUGUCGUGCUAGGUGAAUGGGAUUGAAUUCCCAGCCGUAGAGGGUGAUGGCCCCGUAGCUUGUCGUGCGAUGUCUCUUUAUGUUUAUUCCCAAGUAGCGCGGGACUCGUGGAAUCCCGCGUGAAUCUGCCCAGACCGUUGGGUAAGCCUAAGUAUUCCUGUCUGACCGAUAGUGUACUAGUACCGUGAGGGAAAGGUGAAAAGCACCCCGGGAGGGGAGUGAAAUAGUUCCUGAAACCGUGCGCUUACAAUCCGUCGGAGCCUUCUUUGUGGGGUGACGGCGUGCCUAUCGAAAAAUGAGUCUGCGAGUCAGUGGUAUGUGGCGAGGCUAACCCGGGUGGGGGAGCCGUAGCGAAAGCGAGUUUUAAAAGGCGUUUGAGUCGCAUGUCCUGGACCCGAAGCGGGAUGAUCUAGCCCUGAGCAGGUUGAAGCGCGGGUAAGACCGUGUGGAGGACCGAACCCACCUAGGUUGAAAACUGGGGGGAUGACUUGGGGUUAGGGGUGAAAGGCCAAUCAAAUUCCGUGAUAGCUGGUUCUCUCCGAAAUGCAUUUAGGUGCAGCGUCGUGUUAUUGCUUACAGGGGGUAGAGCUACUGGAUGCUUGCGGGCCCAUACCGGGUACCAAUAGCAGCCAAACUCCGAAUACCUGUUAGGUUUAUCACGGCAGUGAGUCGGCGGGGGAUAAGCUCCGUCGUCAAAAGGGAAACAGCCCUGAUCGUCGUCUAAGGUCCCGAAGCGCGUGCUAAGUGGGAAAGGAUGUGGAGUCGCAUAGACAGCCAGGAGGUUGGCUCAGAAGCAGCCAUCCUUGAAAGAGUGCGUAACAGCUCACUGGUCUAGUGGUUCCGCGCCGACAAUGUAGCGGGGCUUAAGCACGCCACCGAAGACGCGGCUGCAUGAUUUGUUUCAUGCGGGGUAGGAGAGCGUCCUGUAUGGGGUGAAGCGGCAGUGUGAACUUGUCGUGGACUUUACAGGAGUGAGAAUGCAGACAUGAGUAGCGAGAGACGGGUGUGAAUCCCGUCCGCUGAAUGACUAAGGGUUCCGGGGCCACGUUCGUCGUCCCCGGGUGAGUCGAGUCCUAAGGCGAGGCCGACAGGCGUAGUCGAAUGGAUGAACGGGUUGAUAUUCCCGUACCGGUGUUACACCGUUCGAACUGAAUCUGAGAGUACUAACCUUCAUUUUCUUGUUGAUUGCCUUUCGGGGUUGUUGAUGGGUUUGUGUUGGGACUGUAUCGGUAGUAGGUUAGCGUGGGAGUGACGCGGGUAGGUAGCCGGCUGCGGAGGUGGUUUUCCGUGGCUAAGCGUGUGGGCUGUCUCCUAGGUAAAUCCGGGGGAUGUUAAGCUGAGGCGUGAUGGGUAGGCUGUAAGGCUGAUUCCGGUGAUCCUGCUUGCCAAGAAAAGCUUCAACGUGAGGUGUGAUUCCGCUCGUACCCUAAACCGACACUGGUGGUCUGGUAGAGUAUACCGAAGCGAUCGGGCGAAUCCUGGCCAAGGAACUCGGCAAAUUACUCCCGUGCCUUCGGCAUAAGGGAGACCCCUGAUGGUGAUAUGGUUUUACAUUGUUGAGCUGUUGGGGGUGGCACAAGCUAGGGGGUAGCGACUGUUUACCAAAAACACAGGAGCGUGCGAAGGCGUAAGCCGCUGUAUACGCUCUGACGCCUGCCCGGUGCCGGAAGGUUAAGAGGAUCCGUUAGCUUCGGUGAAGCGGUGAAUUUAAGCCCCGGUAAACGGCGGUGGUAACUAUAACCAUCCUAAGGUAGCGAAAUUCCUUGUCGGG